UGCUAAGUACAUUCAUGUUUACUGGGAAGAGGUAUUAUUUUAAGAAGGGGGGAAAAAAGCUUCUGGAACCUCCCACUUCCCAUGCCCUGAUCAAAACAGUAUCGCAAUGUGUGACCAAACUCCACAUUCCUACAGGAAUUGCAGAGGGUUAUUCAUUACUACUGCACACUAUGUUAUUCUUAGUUUGCAUUCAGAAAGGAAAAUGGAAUCAUCAAGCAUAACAUCUUCUCCAGGGAACCGAGAACCGUGACUGUGGUGUGCAUGGGCACAAAUGUUCUUUAUCAUAGUCUAUAAAGUGAACGAAUGCCAACAACUUAAAAAAUCAUAAUGGCUUCAAGAGCAUGACAUUGAACAUUAGCAAAGAAGUUUAAAAAUAAUUUCAGUUUUUUUUUACCUGAUGCCUGCUAGACAAGUCCAAUCUGUUCUAUUUAUUUUCUACAUAACUUCUUGAAGAGGAAAAAUGAAAUCCUGCUUAAAGAGAUUUAUGCAGUUAGCUGUGUAUAUGAUAUAAUACAAUGGGAGGUACCCAAACAGCUUUUCAGGAAAGUGUUCUUUUAAAUGGUUGGAAAUACCCUUGUUCUCAAUUUCCAUAUUAUGCCUUUAAAGCUUAACCCUUUAUUCCUCAAAAUAAACCAUGGGGUUUAACUUCAAAGUCUCCAUUCAUAUGAUUCAAUCAAUGAAGGGAUUGCCUACGAUUACAUUUUAAAACUUGUGACUUUAUUGCACAUCCCUGGAACAUGUGGCUUUGGUUUCCUCUCUUCUAUUGUUUGCUAAUAGCCAAUGGGUUUUCAAAAUUCAGGGUAAGGUACUCACCGUCUUGUUAUGUUGACUUAAUACAUAUCGUGGGUCAAUCCCAAUUAAAAACAAAUGGCAACAAAUCAAAACCAGAAAAAGGAGGAAGAAGAAGAGAAGAAAGGAAGAGAAGGAGGAAGGGGACAGGAGGAGGAGGAAGAAAUCCU